rnacentral:rRNA from 1 species
CCUACGGGUGGCAGCAGUGGGGAAUAUUGCACAAUGGGGGAAACCCUGAUGCAGCGACGCCGCGUGAGUGAAGAAGUAACUCGUUACGUAAAGCUCUAUCAGCAGGGAAGAAAUACUGACCUUACGGUCAGCAGACGGUACCUGAGUAAGAAGCCCCGGCUAACUACGUGCCAGCAGCCGCGGUAAUACGUAGGGGGCAAGCGUUAUCCGGAUUUAUUGGGUGGAAAGGGAGCGUAGGCGGUUUAGCAAGUCAGAAGUGAAAGCCCGGGGCUCAACUCCGGGACUGCUUUUGAAACUGUUGAACUAGAUUGCAGGAGAGGUAGGUGGAAUUCCUAGUGUAGCGGUGAAAUGCGUAGAUAUUAGGAGGAACACCAGUGGCGAAGGCGGCUUACUGGACUGUAAAUGACGCUGAGGCUCGAAAGCGUGGGGAGCAAACAGGAUUAGAUACCCCUGUAGUC